UACGGAGGGAGCUAGCGUUGUUCGGAAUUACUGGGCGUAAAGCGCACGUAGGCGGCUUUGUAAGUUAGAGGUGAAAGCCUGGGGCUCAACCCCAGAAUUGCCUUUAAGACUGCAUCGCUUGAAUCCAGGAGAGGUGAGUGGAAUUCCGAGUGUAGAGGUGAAAUUCGUAGAUAUUCGGAAGAACACCAGUGGCGAAGGCGACUCACUGGACACAUAUUGACGCUGAGGAGCGAAAGUGUGGGGAGCGAACAGG
rnacentral:rRNA from 1 species